CAGUUAAUGGGAAAAAAUCCCCACUAGUAGCUUUUUUAGAAGCAACGGCUGCUGUUAAGACAACGGUAUCGCCAUAACGGACCAAAACCGCACCAUUGGCUUGCUUGGCUAAUUCGCCGAUUUCGACGGUUAACGGACGACCGCCUAAAGUGGUACUAAAAACUUGUUUUUCUGCCAUAAUAAACUCCUUUUAUAAAAUCUUAUCCAAGACUUCAACAUAGCUAAACAAAUAUCAACCUACCUAUUAAAACAUAGGCUCAUAUUUGUAUAGGUACGUUUGGUUCUUGGAUGUAAAAUAACAAAUCAAUAAAACAAAAGGAUGGCGUGAGCC
rfam:Globicatella sp. HMSC072A10 Globicatella_spHMPREF2811-1.0_Cont1131.1, whole genome shotgun sequence.